CUGACUCAGCAGUCCGUUGCCUCCUCCUCCUCCUCCUCCUCCUUCUCCUCCUCCUAAUAGAAGCAGACCGCCGCGAGGACAGUCCGGCUGCCAGAGAGGACCGAAUAGAUCUCGCCGGCUGCUCUUGCCAGCAGAAUCCACUUAGCGGCCACAUUAACCGCACAUUUCUCCACUCACCGGCCUCGCCGCUGACAGCAGGGACAGUGUCAAGAAAACAGGGUUUAAUCGCAGAGAAUAUUACUUUCCCUCUGAUGUGUCGUGCAUCCAGCCCUUUUCAUCACCAGGCAGAAAGAGAGGGUGGAGGAACGUGUGUGUUUUUGCCGGCUGAGGAAUCGGGACGCACCAGUACGUCAGAGUAUGAGGAGAUUGAAGUGAAGACCCACCACUUGACGAACAUGUUGGGAGGGAUCAUGGACAUGGACGACCUGCUGUGUGACCUGUUGGAAGACAGGGAGAAGCUCGUGGCGGUGUUCGACGUCCAGCGCGGGAGGACGGGGAGUCCCCGGGGGACCAUUUCCAACGGCUCCUCCAGCGCCGCACCGAGCCCCGAACCCCUCCACUACUUCUCCCACCUGCACCAGCAGCAGCAGCCAAUCAGAGGAGAGAUCGAAGUCAACGAGGCCAGCCUCAAAGCCAACAAUCCUCUGUUGGUGAGGAGCAGCAGUGACCCGAUCCACGAGGCCCGAGCCACGCCUCCACCCGCUGUCCGCGGCAGCAGGUCUCCGGAUACGGAAAUCAACGUUUUGCUGAAAGGCGCUCUGGACCGACUGCACACGGACGACCCCCCCCGCCAAGAUGGGCAAAGUGAACUAUAA
rnacentral:lncRNA from 1 species